GGACUACCGGGGUAUCUAAUCCUGUUCGCUCCCCACGCUUUCGCUCCUCAGCGUCAGGUCAGGCCCAGAGAACCGCCUUCGCCACCGGUGUUCCUCCCGAUAUCUGCGCAUUUCACCGCUACACCGGGAAUUCCAUUCUCCCCUACCUGCCUCUAGUCUGCCCGUAUCCACUGCAAGCCCAGGGUUAAGCCCUGGGUUUUCACAGCGGACGCAACAGACCGCCUACGAGCUCUUUACGCCCAAUAAUUCCGGACAACGCUUGCGCCCUACGUAUUACCGCGGCUGCUGGCAC
rnacentral:rRNA from 1 species